UAAUGGAGGGUAUGAACUACUCACUCAGGGUUUAGCCAUGUAAAUGGUUAGAUCAUUGUCUCCCUCUUCAUACUCAUGUAUACCUGAGACUGUCCCCUACCAUACACACAGGGAAGUGUACCAACUUAUUACCAUGACUUCAGCCACUGAACACUAAUCUGGGCCCAGAGGAAGUUGUGAUUCACCUGCUGCGAGGAUGGGGUACCCACACUUAGUGACACCUGCAUGAUGGUGAUGCUUCUGUCUCCUUGGGCUCCGCACCGAGUCCCCAGUUCCUGCAUGCUAAGUCUGUUCUUCAGAGCACACAAUCCACUGUCAGCAUGGGACCUGAGAGAGGACAGCAUGGGUGCUGGUUACCUGCUAUUCCAAAUCCGGUGCUCUCUGGAGAAUCUUGGGUUUGUUUCUGAGCAUGGCUUGUUAGCUCAGGCUCCCGGACUUCGUGAUGUGUGCAGUCUUGUCAGAACAGUCUGGUCUUGCAGGUAAAUUUUCCUUCCAGAAGACCAAGAGCUCACGCAAAUUGGUCUGUGGUGAUCCGACUCUUUGUCCGUGUUGGUGAUUUCCAUGGGAAGAGCUGAGCUGUCAAACACAUACAGCCUGUCAAUGAGAACGACAAACCAGAAGGAAAGCGCCAAUCAGGUGCUUGGCUGUCGUAAUCAAGGAAACGAGAGAAGCAACUAAGAAUGUCUCCACAGCUGCUGUGUGAACCAAGGACUGCCCCGAGGUGUCUUGUCCUCUCCUGAUGAUGCCAGAAGCAAGUCUUGAGCCAGAAAUUCCCCUACUAAGUGACUUGGGGAGUGAAGGGAAGCAGAAUCUCGGUGGAGGGCAGAGCAUGAGGCUCUGUGUGAACGUCACAGGAUCCCGUCAUCCUCCUCACUCUGCAGAAGAGGAAAUGAGAGCAGGGCGGACAAGGGUAUCUGCCUCUCCCCAGGCCCACAGCUGCUAAGUGGUGGGAUUUUCUCUGAUGGCCAAGACCAUUUUGUAACUACUACACUCGCUAAUUUCUGCUCUAGUAGGCCAUCAAGGAGAAAAUGCCCAGAAGGUUGGAGUAAAUGCCAUUGUAACUACUAUGCUCACUAAUUUCUGCUCUAGUAGGCCAUCAAGGAGAAAAUGCCCAGAAGGUUGGAGUAAAUGCCAUCAAGUUACUUUUCUUCCUAAUGUAAUGCUUUUGGUGGAAGUUGAUUCUCUUUUUUUUUUUUUUUUUUUAGGCAAAUGUAUUUAUCCUUAUCAGAGUAGCCCUGGGAAGCUCUUAGCGGAUGAGUCCCCGAAGCCUGCAACUACCCCAGGAGAAUGCAUUUUGCUAAAAGCCUGGACAGCACAGAGAAAAUGAUAAAAAGGACCUCAUUGGGCAGAUAAAAUACCAGUGGUAGAGGGGCCAGAGGCAGAGGAAAUUGAAAGAAAAUGGAAGAAAUGAGAGAGAAAUUACGGCACCGGCAAUAUUCAAGUGUAUUCCCCAGGAGAGCAAAAAUGACAUGAAUUUUUAGGACAAAAUAGUAACACUAAAAAGUGCUGAGUCAUCCCUGCCUGUUGCUUUUGAUUUCUGGCUUGGACCAGGAGGGGCCUUGGACUUCUUGCCUCUGGGUGUGUCUGCAAUGGUGUCUCUAGAAACACUUAGAUCCUGAUGGCUCUGACACACUCAGCAGGCUGAUUCCUCAAUGGACUCAAUACAAUGGCAUGCUUAGGAGGGGGUGACAGGUGCGGAGAGGAGCCACAGAGGGAGCAGACAUCUGGGGACACCUCCUUGGCGCUAUCUGUUACAACAGUGGUCUUCCGUCCUAACCCCCUUUCUUGGCUCCCUGGCCAUCCUGGUUGAACUGUCCCGAUGCGCCGUGUGGUCCCUACCACUGUGGGCUGACGUUUAUGAAAACGGAAACCAGGACACGCCAGGCCCCCAUGGCCACUCAGCUCAAGGUGGGGAGUGACUAAGAGGGAGACCUUCUCCACAGGAGUCAGGAUCUGCAUGGGCAGGAAGCAGGGGCACCUCUGGGAGCCAGGUGAGGAGCCCCUAGGGAGGUUUGCAUGUAUUGUACAGUGAUGGUGACAUUUUUUUGUGUGUGGAUAAAUGCUUCCAUUUGAUUAUGCCAAGUAAAGUAUAAUCCGAGAGCCA